rnacentral:rRNA from 1 species
GAUGAACGCUGGCGGCGCGCCUAACACAUGCAAGUCGAACGGCACCCCUCCUCGGAGGGAAGCGAGUGGCGAACGGCUGAGUAACACGUGGAGAACCUGCCCCCUCCCCCGGGAUAGCCGCCCGAAAGGACGGGUAAUACCGGAUACCCCGGGGUGCCGCAUGGCACCCCGGCUAAAGCCCCGACGGGAGGGGAUGGCUCCGCGGCCCAUCAGGUAGACGGCGGGGUGACGGCCCACCGUGCCGACAACGGGUAGCCGGGUUGAGAGACCGACCGGCCAGAUUGGGACUGAGACACGGCCCAGACUCCUACGGGAGGCAGCAGUGGGGAAUCUUGCGCAAUGGGGGGAACACUGACGCAGCGACGCCGCGUGCGGGACGGAGGCCUUCGGGUCGUAAACCGCUUUCAGCAGGGAAGAGUCAAGACUGUACCUGCAGAAGAAGCCCCGGCUAACUACGUG